GCAGCCUGGGUGCGCUCGGCAGCCAACGUGAUGGGGCCGGGCGCGGGCGGGCGCGGGCAGGGGCGGGCCGGCCGAGGGAGGAUCUGUGGGUUCUCCUUCCUUCCGAGCGCUUGGUCUGGAGUCGGGCGGGCAGAAGCCGAUGCAGAGUAGAUAGAAGCAGAGUUAAAUUGAGUGGGGGAGGAAACUGGGCUAAGAGCUCAGACUGAGUCCACUGUUCUCCACCUUCAAGACAUUCUGCAAGCAAAGAGGGAACCUGGGUCACCGUGAAGUGAAAAAUAAUCUCAAGAAUCCUUUGCAGUCUCAGUGUGUACCUGAGUGCACUAUCGUGGCUCCGUGUUCUAAGAUAGCUCUCUAGAGAUUAUUACCUCGUUUGACUGAAACUUCACGCUCAUCCGUUUGCAGCUCCUCCUGACCCUCUUUCAACCCCAAGCGCCCUUCAUCCCAUGUCAGAUGGCGUCCAGUCUUAGAUACUUCACGGAUGGGGAGCCAUGCGGUAUUCGUCUUUCCGUUACAGAGUUGUUUUACUGGAUGUUUAGGCCUUUUUCUUCUUCCUCUUUUAUCUGCCGGCGGACCAUUGAAUUGUUUCCUCAGUUCCCGUCUCUCUUCAUACACCAUCACUCUUCCCGUGAGCAUUUGGAAUGAACGCAGCAACGGCUCUUAGAAAAGGCUGGCACACAUUACGUGUUCAGUGACUACCAAUUGCUGUUACUGCCACUGUCACUUCAUCAGCAGUGGAAGGAUAACCUAGCCACUGACCUAAUAAACCGAGGGAUGGAGAAAGUCACCCCUGGAACAGACGACGCUUGCAGACUUUUCUGUUGGCUCAGCCAAACACAUGCUAUCUAUUGUUUCCAUCUGUAGAAUACAUUUAUUGUUAAUUGCCCACAGCAAAUUCACCCUAAUGCCAUCCAGUGCUCUACCUUUAACUGGGGGCACUAAAUAAUAAAGCUGGCUUUUUCUUUCUGAGCACAAGCAUGAGAGAGUGAAGGAAACCUCAUCUCCACGCAGAUGGAUGCACUGUCCAGUGUGCCCGUCUCCUGGAGACUGGUAGAACAGAGUGCCAUGGAGUCACUGAAACUCACCAGGUUUACUAGGUUCCUCCUUCCUCAAACAACGAGGAGUAGCAAGGACUGCCGAGAGACACUCUCAGACCAGCCAUACUGUCCGGAAGAGCUACCUAGAAGCAGGAGACAUCAUCCAAGUUGCCUGGAAAGGGCUCAGACCAAUUUGAGCUACCUGCAAAGGCACUGACUGAAGGUAGUCCAGUGUGCUCCAGGUUUCCAGCUGUUGUCACCCAUGCGGAGGUGAUGCAGCUGUUCUGAGUCAUUUCACCCAGACUCCUGUAUGUAACCCCAAUAAAAUUCACUGGCUCGCCCAGGUGAACGUUUGUAUUACCCUUAUGUUGGUCUGUGAUUAGUUCUAUUUCUGGGGUGAGUAGACA